UGCGCAGGUGGGCUUGUAAGUCAGUGGUGAAAUCUUGCCGCUUAACGGUAAAAUUGCCAUUGAUACUGCAAGUCUUGAGUAUGGUUGAGGUAGGUGGAAUGUGUUGUGUAGCGGUGAAAUGCAUAGAUAUGACACAGAACGCCGAUUGCGAAGGCAACUUACUAAGCCAUUACUGACGCUGAGGCACGAAAGCGUGGGGAGCGAACAGGAUUAGAUACCCAGGUAGUC
rnacentral:rRNA from 1 species